AAAGUCGUAACAAGGUUUCCGUAGGUGAACCUGCGGAAGGAUCAUUACAGAGUUCAUGCCCUCUCGGGUAGAUCUCCAUCCUUGUAUAUCUUACAUUGUUGCUUUGGCAGGUCGUCCGCAAGGCCACUGGCUUCGGCUAGUGAGUACCUGCCAGAGGACCCAAAAAUCAUCUUUAUAUGUCGUCUGAGAAAUAUAUAAUAUUUAAAACUUUCAACAACGGAUCUCUUGGUUCUG
rnacentral:misc_RNA from 1 species